GUGUGUUUCCCCUGCCGCGGGGAAAUGGCUGCUGUUGCUUCUUCUGGGCCAGAGGAAGAGAAUGAGGUAGAGUGUUAUUUUGCCUCCCAGUAGGAUCGAGAGUGUUGGGAAGAGGAGCGCGUCCCCGGGGAAAUGAGACUAAUAGGGAUGCCAAAGGAAAAAUAUGAUCCUCCAGAUCCUCGCAGAAUUUAUACCAUCAUGUCAGCAGAGGAGGUAGCCAAUGGGAAAAAAUCUCACUGGGCAGAAUUAGAAAUCUCGGGUAGAGUGCGGAGCCUAAGUACAUCACUUUGGUCAUUGACACAUUUGACAGCGCUGCACCUAAAUGACAAUUACCUUAGUCGCAUUCCACCUGAUAUUGCCAAGCUUCAUAAUCUGGUUUACCUGGAUCUGUCAUCCAAUAAACUCAGAAGUUUACCAGCAGAACUAGGAAACAUGGUGUCUCUCAGGGAAUUGCUUUUAAAUAACAAUCUGUUACGGGUUUUGCCUUAUGAACUUGGUCGGCUCUUCCAGCUACAAACUCUAGGUUUGAAAGGCAAUCCUUUAUCACAGGAUAUUCUCAACUUAUACCAGGACCCAGAUGGAACUCGAAAGCUACUGAACUUCAUGCUUGACAAUCUCGCAGUUCAUCCAGAGCAGCUUCCUCCGAGGCCAUGGAUUACAUUAAAAGAACGAGACCAAAUUCUGCCAUCAGGAAGUGGAAACAGAGCAAUACUUCACUCUCUUUCUGCCAGCAUUGAAGGAGCGUGGAUAUGAUGGAUUUUUUUCUCCAAAGUCACGUGCCAAA
rnacentral:sRNA from 1 species